rnacentral:rRNA from 1 species
CCGAUGGCGGUCGAUUUAGCAUGCUAGUCGCACGGGUUCAGACCCGUGGCGAAUAGCUCCGUAACACGUGGCCAAACUACCCUAUGGAUCGGAAUAACCUCGGGAAACUGAGGCUAAUACCGAAUACCGCUCUCAUCCUGGAACUGGAGAGAGCACGAAACGCUCCGGCGCCAUAGGAUGUGGCUGCGGCCGAUUAGGUAGACGGUGGGGUAACGGCCCACCGUGCCGAUAAUCGGUACGGGUUGUGAGAGCAAGAACCCGGAGACGGUAUCUGAGACAAGAUACCGGGCCCUACGGGGCGCAGCAGGCGCGAAACCUUUACACUGCACGAACGUGCGAUAAGGGGACUCCAAGUGCGAGGGCAUACAGUCCUCGCUUUUCCCUACCGUAAGGAGGUAGGUGAAUAAGAGCUGGGCAAGACCGGUGCCAGCCGCCGCGGUAAUACCGGCAGCUCGAGUGAUGGCCAAUAUUAUUGGGCCUAAAGCGUCCGUAGCUGGCCGAACAGGUCCGUCGGGAAAUCCGCUCGCUCAACGAGCGGACGUCCGGCGGAAACCAGUUGGCUUGGGACCGGAAGACCCGAGGGGUACGUCCGGGGUAGGAGUGAAAUCCUGUAAUCCUGGACGGACCACCGGUGGCGAAAGCGCCUCGGGAGGACGGAUCCGACAGUGAGGGACGAAAGCUUGGGUCACGAACCGGAUUAGAUACCCGGGUAGUCCAAGCUGUAAACGAUGCUCGCUAGGUGUGGCACUGGCUACGAGCCAGUGCUGUGCCGUAGGGAAGCCGAGAAGCGAGCCGCCUGGGAAGUACGUCCGCAAGGAUGAAACUUAAAGGAAUUGGCGGGGGAGCACUA